ACGGAAGGCAGCAGUGGGGGAUAUUGCACAAUGGGGGAAACCCUGAUGCAGCGACGCCGCGUGAGUGAAGAAGUAUUUCGGUAUGUAAAGCUCUAUCAGCAGGAAAGAUAAUGACGGUACCUGACUAAGAAGCACCGGCUAAAUACGUGCCAGCAGCCGCGGUAAUACGUAUGGUGCAAGCGUUAUCCGGAUUUACUGGGUGUAAAGGGAGUGUAGGUGGUUUGGCAAGUCAGAUGUGAAAGCCCGGGGCUCAACUCCGGGACUGCAUUUGAAACUGUCAGACUAGAGUGCAGGAGAGGAAAGUGGAAUUCCUAGUGUAGCGGUGAAAUGCGUAGAUAUUAGGAAGAACACCAGUGGCGAAGGCGGCUUUCUGGACUGUAACUGACACUGAGGCUCGAAAGCGUGGGGAGCAAACAGGAUUAGAUACCCUGGUA
rnacentral:rRNA from 1 species